CUGGAGGACCCGAACCCGACUUAUGUGAAAAAUAGCGGAUGACUUGUGGCUGGGGGUGAAAGGCCAAUCAAAUCUGGGAGAUAGCUGGGUCUCCCCGAAAGCUAUUUAGGUAGCGCCUCGUGAACUCAUCUUCGGGGGUAGAGCACUGUUUCGGCUAGGGGGUCAUCCCGACUUACCAACCCGAUGCAAACUACGAAUACCGAAGAAUGUUAUCACGGGAGACACACGGCGGGUGCUAACGUUCGUCGUGAAGAGGGAAACAACCCAGACCGCCAGCUAAGGUCCCAAAGUCAUGGUUAAGUGGGAAACGAAGUGGGAAGGCUCAGACAGCCAGGAUGUUGGCUUAGAAGCAGCCAUCAUUUAAAGAAAGCGUAAUAGCUCACUGGUCGAGUCGGCCUGCGCGGAAGAUGUAACGGGGCUAAACCAUGCACCGAAGCUGCGGCAGCGACAUGUAAAUGUUGUUGGGUAGGGGAGCGUUCUGUAAGCCUGUGAAGGUGUGCUGCGAGGCAUGCUGGAGGUAUCAGAAGUGCGAAUGCUGACAUAAGUAACGAUAAUGCGGGUGAAAAACCCGCACGCCGGAAGACCAAGGGUUCCUGUCCAACGUUAAUCGGGGCAGGGUGAGUCGACCCCUAAGGCGAGGCAGAAAUGCGUAGUCGAUGGGAAACAGGUUAAUAUUCCUGUACUGGUGAUAAUUGCGAUGGGGGGACGGAGAAGGCUAGGCUGGCCGGGCGACGGUUGUCCCGGUUUAAGGAUGUAGGUGGGUGAAUUAGGCAAAUCCGGUUCGCUAUACACUGAGGUCUGAUGACGAGUCACUACGGUGGCGAAGUAGCUCAUGCCCCGCUUCCAGGAAAAGCCUCUAAGCUCUAGAUUAUCAUUAAUCGUACCCCAAACCGACACAGGUGGUCAGGUAGAGAAUACUCAGGCGCUUGAGAGAACUCGGGUGAAGGAACUAGGCAAAAUGGUGCCGUAACUUCGGGAGAAGGCACGCUGGCACUAGGUGAAGUGGUUUACCCAUGGAGCUGAAGCCAGUCGCAGAUACCAGCUGGCUGCAACUGUUUAUUAAAAACACAGCACUGUGCAAACACGAAAGUGGACGUAUACGGUGUGACGCCUGCCCGGUGCUGGAAGGUUAAUUGAUGGGGUUAUCCGUAAGGAGAAGCUCUUGAUCGAAGCCCCAGUAAACGGCGGCCGUAACUAUAACGGUCCUAAGGUAGCGAAAUUCCUUGUCGGGUAAGUUCCGACCUGCACGAAUGGCGUAAUGAUGGCCAGGCUGUCUCCACCCGAGACUCAGUGAAAUUGAACUCGCUGUGAAGAUGCAGUGUACCCGCGGCAAGACGGAAAGACCCCGUGAACCUUUACUAUAGCUUGACACUGAACAUUGAGCCUUGAUGUGUAGGAUAGGUGGGAGGCUUUGAAGUGUGGACGCCAGUCUGCAUGGAGCCAACCUUGAAAUACCACCCUUUAAUGUUUGAUGUUCUAACGUAGCCCCAUAAUCUGGGGUGCGGACAGUGUCUGGUGGGUAGUUUGACUGGGGCGGUCUCCUCCCAAAGCGUAACGGAGGAGCACGAAGGUUGGCUAAGCAUGGUCGGACAUCAUGCGGUUAGUGCAAAGGCAUAAGCCAGCUUGACUGCGAGAGUGACGGCUCGAGCAGGUACGAAAGUAGGUCUUAGUGAUCCGGUGGUUCUGAAUGGAAGGGCCAUCGCUCAACGGAUAAAAGGUACUCCGGGGAUAACAGGCUGAUACCGCCCAAGAGUUCAUAUCGACGGCGGUGUUUGGCACCUCGAUGUCGGCUCAUCACAUCCUGGGGCUGAAGUAGGUCCCAAGGGUAUGGCUGUUCGCCAUUUAAAGUGGUACGCGAGCUGGGUUUAGAACGUCGUGAGACAGUUCGGUCCCUAUCUGCCGUGGGCGUUGGAAGAUUGAAAGGGGCUGCUCCUAGUACGAGAGGACCGGAGUGGACGCACCGCUGGUGUUCGGGUUGUCAUG
rnacentral:rRNA from 1 species